rnacentral:rRNA from 1 species
CCCUUAGAUGUUCUGGGCCGCACGCGCGCUACACUGACUGCUCCAACAAGUUACCUGGGCUGACAAGCAUCCGGGAAAUCUUGCAAAGGCAGUCGUGAUGGGGAUAGAUUCUUGUAAUUUUUGAUCUUCAACGAGGAAUUCCUAGUAAACGCAAGUCAUCAGCUUGCAUUGAUUGCGUCCCUGCCCUUUGUACACACCGCCCGUCGCAUCUACCGAUUGAAUGGAGAGGCAAAAUCUUCGGACCGUGACGCUUGGGAGUCAAAUCUCGGGCUGUCGUGGGAAGUGGAUUAAACCUUUCUAUUUAGAGGAAGGUAAAGUCGUAACA